GCAGGCAUUGGAACAUCGGAAACGGGAGUUUGUAAAGUACUCCAAACGUUUUAGCAACACCCUAAAGGAAUUCUUCAAGGAGGGACAGGUACAGGCAGUUUUUGUGAGUGCUGUGUACCUCAUCUACCAAACAAACCACAUUAUGGUCACUGUCAAGAACGAAUGUGACUGAGGGCAGAUGCCAAGGUAAGGAUAACUGCCAGGUCUGAACGCUGGUAAAGAAUCGGCUACAGGGCCCACGUGGAUAUCUAGGACGUAGUGUUGGGUGCCAGGGAUCAGUUACGAUGCAGUCACAGCUGACGGCGACAGUGCCCACAUCCCAUCAGUGCUGUGCUGGAACCCAGUUGUGUUGUUGCAUUGGCAUUUAAGCUGGAUAGUGGAGCUACAUGGAGGGACACUAACACAAGAACCUUUUCAUACGCAUGAAUGUGUGAUAUAACACUGGCAUUGCGUCAGUAGUGGGCCUUGUCCCAUUCGCCUUCAACUUUUCGUUGGUUGUGAACGCUUGCUUUUUUUAAAAUUUAGUUUGUCCAUGGCAGAUUCUAAUCAGAUUGAACUAGCAUUAUUACCCUCUUGCUUUGUUUUGUUUCUUCUAUUUCAAGGUUUUUGCUACCAUUUGUGUAUUUAGAGUAAGCCACUGUUAACAGGAAUUGUUUUAUUAUAAAGAUUAAUUAAUUUAGUGCCGGUGCUUAUAUGUUUGGUGAGUUACAUUUACGGGCUGAUUGCCAAGCAUAACUUUGCUGGUGACUCUUUUAGAAGGUUAGCUUUACCCGGACAAAAAUAUGUAACUGUUAAAAACAUUUAAUGUGGUUUCUUUUGCAGUGAUAGUUCCGUAGACGAGAGCAGCUGGCAUAAGGGUGCAGAUUAUAAAUGGCACCUUGUUAGUGCCCACAUCAGAACAUAUGUUAUAUUAAGGGUGAGCGGAACAAAAAGAAAGCAACAUGACAUGACAUUGUUCAAGCGCAUUAGACAGGCUUUAGCUGUCAACUAGUUGUUUCUGUGCAGCUAUCUGCUGAGCAUGUUUGUAGUAACUUGAAUUAGCAACACAUCAUUUAACAUUGACGCAUGCGAUUGCCUGGACUUAUCCUGGUGAAGGCUGCAGUAAAUCGGUAUGUGAGUGCAGGGCACUUCUGAAGGCAACUGUACUAUAUUCGCUUCUUGGACGCUCGUGAGCAAUUUUAAGUAUCCCUCCUCUGAUCGUAAAGUAAUACACUUUUCAAUGUCGCCCCGUGGGAUUUUGUUGCUGCAUGAAUGCUAAAACAAAGGACAGGGUAAUAGUAACUUUCAGAGACAGUUGUGUUUUUGUAAAAAGCACUUUUAUGACCCCUUGCAGCCUCGUGAAUUGAACAAAGAGUUAUAAUAAUGAACUUAUUUAUGAUGAAGAUGGUAACACUUUUUUUUUCUCGGGUGCAUUCAAGCUUUUGAGAGCAAGCUUUAAUGCUCAGCACUAUGUUUCAGCAGUAAGGCAUUUUGUUUUUUGGCAGUGCAAGUGCAACUAUGCAACUAGUGUUGACUGUCCUCACGUUGUUUCUAUCACCAAUGCACCCACAUUAAAUGUGGUGUGUGUCCAUCUUACCUCCUCCCGGUUGACUGUUAACUGCAUGCGCAGUGCAGAUGUUGCAUAUUGUCUUCUCUUCAUAUCGAUAUCACAUUAUUAAAGACAAUGCCUUUA
rnacentral:lncRNA from 1 species